GGAAGUAAAAGUCGUAACAAGGUCUCCGUAGGUGAACCUGCGGAGGGAUCAUUACAAGUUGACCCCGGCCCUCGGGCCGGGAUGUUCACAACCCUUUGUUGUCCGACUCUGUUGCCUCCGGGGCGACCCUGCCUCCGGGCGGGGGCCCCGGGUGGACAUUUCAAACUCUUGCGUAACUUUGCAGUCUGAGUAAAUUUAAUUAAUAAAUUAAAGCUUUCAACAACGGAUCUCUUGGUUCUGGCAUCGAUGAAGAACGCAGCGAAAUGCGAUAAGUAAUGUGAAUUGCAGAAUUCAGUGAAUCAUCGAAUCUUUGAACGCACAUUGCGCCCCCUGGUAUUCCGGGGGGCAUGCCUGUCCGAGCGUCAUUUCACCACUCAAGCCUCGCUUGGUAUUGGGCGACGCGGUCCGCCGCGCGCCUCAAAUCGACCGGCUGGGUCUUUCGUCCCCUCAGCGUUGUGGAAACUAUUCGCUAAAGGGUGCCGCGGGAGGCCACGCCGUGAAACAACCCCAUUUCUAAGGUUGACCUCGGAUCAGGUAGGGAUACCCGCUGAACUUAAGCAUAUCAAUAAGCGGAGGA
rnacentral:rRNA from 1 species